GGCAUUACUUCUUGCUAGCUAUAGGUAUGUUAAUUCAUGCCAAAGUUGUUUCUGUUAAAUAGGGAGUUUCUAGGAUGAAUAUUGAAUUUUUACCAGCCAGACUGUUGUUUGGUGCUAAGGUUUAUUUAUGUUUUACUGUUCCCUUUCUUUUCAUCUUGGCAUCAAUAGAUUUUCUGAACAUGCAUAUUGUUUCUCAUGCAUACUGUUUGAAAUGAGAACCCACCCCCAACGCCAAAUAUCACACUUGCUAGCAUUGG
rnacentral:misc_RNA from 1 species